rnacentral:rRNA from 1 species
AACGAGACCUUAACCUGCUAAAUAGCCCGUAUUGCUUUGGCAGUACGCUGGCUUCUUAGAGGGACUAUCCGCUCAAGCGGAUGGAAGUUUGAGGCAAUAACAGGUCUGUGAUGCCCUUCUAUGUUCUGGGCCGCACGCGCGUUCCACUGACGGAGCCAGCUAGUACUUCCUUGACAGAGAUGUCCGGGUAAUCUUGUGAAACUCU